rnacentral:piRNA from 1 species
UUGACCAUGGUUGCUGGACAAGAUCAGU